AUCUGCAAAUAAAUUGUUUAUUUUCAUUUCUAAAGUAAUAGAAGCGUAAAGUUACAAUGGAGAAAAAUUAAAACACCCCAAUAUUUAUUUUAUAUAAAAGAAAUAAUAUUUCUAUAAAAUAAUUUCUAUUUUAUUACACAGUGAAAACCUCACAGAGAAGAUGCUAGCUUUUCUCCAAGUAAAAGGAAUGUAUCCCUGGUUGCAUUUAAAGCCUUUAUUUUUCAUGGCAUCACUGACAUUACAGUGUCCUGUAAGCCACAAGUCUUUUUAACACCUUGUCUUAAUAGUCAUUUAUUCAAGUAUAAAGAUUAAAUUAAAAAUAAGUGAAAGCAACUGAUGCAUGAAGGCAAAAAAACCAAACCAAAAUCAAACCAAACCCCAAAAAGAGUAUUUAAAUCUCAUCCUUUCUUGCCUGACACAAUCAAUCAUGCUUCACUUAAAUCCUUGGUCUUCUGUUACCCUCAUACAUUAUCUCCGAGUUAGCUCUGGGGAAAGGAGCAGAUCCAUAAAUCAUCUGCAGAGAGAUAUUAAUUUAUUUGUAUUUCAGAUGAGAUACCUCCCCCUGUCCAAACUCAAAACAGAGUCUUCUCUCUUCUGUGAAUGACUAGCAGGAAAUUAGAGCUCAGCAGAGCUAAAAUUCUUCCCUGAAAGCCCUCUUAUUAUCUUCUUUGUGAGUGUCUGUGGAUAGCAUCACCAGUUUACUUGCCACUCAAGCUUGUUUGUCAGCUGUCAAGUCUGACUGAAAUGUCUUUGUAGAUCCUAGAACCCAGGGUAUAUACCAGUUUGGCAGCUCCAAAACAUCCUUGCAGCUAAGACCCUUGUUCUCCUGUUGAUAUACAAAGACUGCCCUAAUACCUCUCCCUCCAGUAUUAACCAAAACAGCUCCUAACACAACAGCCAUUGACCAGUGGAAAUGCCACAGAGCAAAGCUGACUGUAGGCCUCCUAUUAAUGAUCAAAUACACCCCAGCUAUCAAAUGGAAACAACGAAUGCAAUUUAACUGAUUCUCCUAAUUCAAAUUUGUUCAGAAAAAUGUUGAAGGGAUAACUUUGUACCAGUAGACAAUAAGCACCAAUCAGUUAUUGUCAGUCCUUCCAGAGGCAGAACAAAAAAUCUGUAGCAUGAACAGAAGCUAAUAUGAGUGUAAUGUGACACCAUGGCCAUACCUCAUACAGAUCAAUUUAGUACUUCUGAGAGACUGAGCUCUGCACAACCUUGGAAUUAACAAAUCUAAAACUGCAACCCAGGAUUUUUUACAUAUAUCAUUAACCACAUAACUUUGCUAUUUUAGGGAUUCUCCUAGUUCCCUCUUCUCUAUUGCAUCAAACAUUAUUUACUUACCUUCAUUUCCAAGGGCAUCUACAAGUCAUCCUUCUGUUCAUUAUCUCCCAUUUCCUUUCCAGUUGACUCCUCCACUCUGUUGCCUACUUGUUGAAAUUCCAGACAAAACAUUUGUUGUGCUUGAUUUCAUGCUGUUUUUGAGACAUGGAGGAGACUAUGAACAUGCUACAGAAUUAAGCAGCUCAAGCAGUGUGUGCAGACAGACUCUGGCUUCCUGUGCCCUUUGAGUCUGGCCAGGCUCAAUCCAAUUUGGUCUGUGACAACCAGUCUCAGUACAGCACCCCCAUGCUAACAUGUCCCCCAGAACAGCAACUCGAUGAAGUUUGAUCUGUUUGACUAACUCCUGUCAGUACAUCAAUUCCAUUGCAAGCUGCAGAACAUUCCUGUUAAAGGAGACAAAGAUGCUUCACUGAUGCUACUUCAGUAUGACUCAGGACAACAGUCUAUGUGCUUUGGAGAGGUAACAGCACUCUGGCUUUAUUAACAUAGACAUCAGUCAUUUUCCAAGGAAGAUAUCACCCUUUAUAGUCUAUGGUAACUUCCUUAGGUGUUAUAUUCAAAAUUAAUUCAAAGAAAGGAAACAAGAGAGUGAAAAGAAUGCUUACCAGUACAGUUUUUUAACCUAUAUGGUCAUGUCAUUGAGCAGAACAGAUUGACAGUCUGCUAUUAUUUUUCUUUUAAAUUCUGGCUGCUUAGAAAUGUGAUUUAAAAAACACCACAAAAACAAACAAGCAGAAAAACCCUAACAAAACAAAACCAAACUCAGUUAAAUCUUUCUUAAAAAUCCUGGAACCGGGGGCUUAGGAAAUAGUUUUAUUUCUAUGCAAAAUCAUUUAAGUACACAGCUUUCCUAGAGACUGGAUCCAGAAUGGGGAGUAAAAGCAACAGAGAUUUUAUUAUAUUGCAUAUUUCUUUCAGUACAGAAGCCAAAGGUACUCAAAGAUAUUCGACCUGAACAAUACUUUAGGAAAGGGGGAAGUGAAAUCUUGCUGAGUGAGCAACAAUUUCUGAUAUAAUUGUAAUGGUGCAGAAUGUCAUGGCAUGCAAGGAACAAAGAUAUGAAAUGUGAUUUUAUAGCAAUGUCUGAAGCUUACCUGUGUCUGAAGCUAAGGUAAUAAACACAAACCAUGAUGGACA
ensembl:lncRNA